GACGAACCGUGCGAACGUUGUUCGGAUUCACUGGGCUUAAAGGGCGCGUAGGCGGUACGCCAAGUCUGGGGUGAAAUCUUUCGGCUCAACCGGAAAAUUGCCUGGGAUACUGGCGUGCUCGAGGGAGGUAGGGGCAGCGGGAACUGCCAGUGGAGCGGUGAAAUGCGUUGAUAUUGGCAGGAACGCCGGUGGCGAAAGCGCGUUGCUGGACCUCUUCUGACGCUGAUGCGCGAAAGCCAGGGGAGCAAAGCGGG
rnacentral:rRNA from 1 species